rnacentral:rRNA from 1 species
GAUGAACGCUGGCGGCGUGCCUAAUACAUGCAAGUCGAGCGAACGGACCAGGAGUUUGCUCCUCCGAUGUUAGCGGCGGACGGGUGAUUAACACGUGGAUAACCUACCUAUAAGACUGGGAUAACUUCGGGAAAGCGGAUCUAAUACCGGAUAAUAUUUUGCACCUCAUUGUUCAAGAGUGAAAGACGGUCUUUGGGUCAGUUAUAGAUGGAUACGGGCUGCAGUAGCUGGUUGGUAAGGUAACUGCUUACCAAGGCAACGAUGGAUACACGGCCCGAUAGGGUGAUCGGCGACCUUGGAAGUGAGACAGGGUCCAGACACCUACGGGAGGACGCAGUCGGGAAUCUUACGCAAGGGGCGAGAGCCUGACGCAGCAAAGCCGCGGGAGUGAUGAAGGUCUUAGGAUCGUAAAACGAUGUUAGUAGGGAAGAACAUAUGUGUAAGUAACUGUGCAGAUCUUGACGGUACCGAAUCAAAAAGCCACGGCUAACUACGUG